rnacentral:rRNA from 1 species
GAUGAACGCUAGCGGCAGGCUUAAUACAUGCAAGUCGAGGGGCAUCAAGGUACACGAAAGUGUAUUGUUGGCGACCGGCGGACGGGUGAGUAAUAGGUAGGUAACCUACCUCAUACUGAGGCAUAGCUGGGAGAAAUUCCAGGUAAUUCCUCAUGAGGUUAUAUGACACAUGUGAUAUAAUCAAAGGUAUCGCAAGGUACUGGUAUGAGAUGGGCUUACUGACCAUUAGCUAGUUGGUGAGAUAAGAGCUCACCAAGGCGAAGAUGGUUAGGGGUUUUGAGAGAGAGAUCCCCCACAUUGGAACUGAGAUACGGUCCAGACUCCUACGGGAGGCAGCAGUAGGGAAUAUUGGGCAAUGGGCGAAGCCUGACCCAGCCAUGCCGCGUGAAGGAAGACGGCCUUAUGGGUUGUAAAACUUCUUUAACUAUGCGACUAACUAGAUUUACGAGAUAAUUCUAUAGAAUGUAGCAUAGCAAAAAGCACCGGA